GACGAACGCUGGCGGCGUGCCUAAUACAUGCAAGUUGAGCGAUGAAGCUUGGUGCUUGCACCCAUUUGAAGAGCAGCGAACGGGUGAGUAACGCGUGGGGAAUCUGCCUUUGAGCGGGGGACAACAUUUGGAAACGAAUGCUAAUACCGCAUAACAACUUUAAACAUAAGUUUUAAGUUUGAAAGAUGCAAUUGCAUCACUCAAAGAUGAUCCCGCGUUGUAUUAGCUAGUUGGUGAGGUAAAGGCUCACCAAGGCGAUGAUACAUAGCCGACCUGAGAGGGUGAUCGGCCACAUUGGGACUGAGACACGGCCCAAACUCCUACGGGAGGCAGCGGUAGGGAAUCUUCGGCAAUGGACGAAAGUCUGACCGAGCAACGCCGCGUGAGUGAAGAAGGUUGUCGGAUCGUAAAACUCUGUUGGUAGAGAAGAACGUUGGUGAGAGUGGAAAGCUCAUCAAGUGACGGUAACUACCCAGAAAGGGACGGCUAACUACGUG
rnacentral:rRNA from 1 species